GCUGUGUGUGGUGGUGCAUGCCUGUAAUCCCAGCAGCUGGGAGGCUGAGGCAGGAGGUUUGGGAGUUGGAAGCCAGCCUCAG
rnacentral:sRNA from 1 species